GGACAAUCAGCGGAUGAUUUUUCGCGACUGGUUUAGCAUUGCUUUCAGCGUCUGCGUAGAUUUUUAAAAGCUUAGACACAUUGUCAUCUGCUUUAUACUAAAAAUAUGGUUAUACAUCUGUUUGAAUGUGAAACAUCGGUAAAGUACAAGCGACGGGGAACGCGCAACUUUUGAUAAGUGGGGAAGCACAAAACGAGCACAAACGAGUAGUGGUGACGCAAUCCAUCUGAUUAUCAUUUUAAACUGCAAAUAGUACAGGAAUCUACUAAUUCAAGCAAUGAAAAUCGUUUCAGUGACAUAAAACUACUGAAAUUUAUUCGACUUUACUGUCAGACAUCAAAACAUCAAAAGUCAAUCAAAAAACAAAAGUUGUUUCACAUUCACAACGUUAUAACACAAUUAUUGAUUAUAAUUAAAUCAUUAUUAUAAUAAGCACCGUAAUUAAUGUAAUUAUUCAUCUGCUUAGUGCGUCAUUGCAUUAACCGUAUUAUUUUAGUAUUACUCUUUUGGAAAAAGCACAUCAAACGAGAACAGAUCAUAAAAAUCAUUGAUGAUUUUCAAAGAAAUCCCUCUGAUGGUCUCCAAAACAACAGGUUUGAUUUCAUCAUAUAGUAAAUCAAUGUUUGAGUUGAUAGAUUCGUUGAUAUUAUUGUUUAAAUCCGUGGCGUUUUGAAACAAGUUGUUGAAAUUAA